rnacentral:rRNA from 1 species
CCAACUGGGAUUGCCUCAGUAACGGCGAGUGAAGCGGCAAAAGCUCAAAUUUGAAAUCUGGCCCUAGGCCCGAAUUGUAAUUUGUAGAGGUGUCUUUGGCGUACGAGCAGGCCUACAUUCCUUGGAACAGGAUGGCAUAGAGGGUGAGAUCCCCGUCCACGGCCGGCGUCCGUCGCCAUGUAUAGACCUUUCGACGAGUCGAGUUGUUUGGGAAUGCAGCUCAAAAUGGGUGGUAAAUUUCAUCUAAAGCUAAAUACUGGCGAGAGACCGAUAGCGCACAAGUAGAGUGAUCGAAAGAUGAAAAGCACUUUGGAGAGAGAGUCAAACAGUACGUGAAAUUGUUGAAAGGGAAGCGCUU